ensembl:lncRNA
AUUUAAGGCCAUGACCUUGGAAUAGAGAUUUGAUACCACGGGGGUUCUGGGUAGAAUGGAGAGCCUGCUGAUGUCCAGGGGGAGCUGCCUGCAAAGGUCCUACUGAAUGUGGUGUGGAUAGGAGAGGCACAACUUGGUUUUGCCUGUGGCAGGGUCCCUUUAUGCUUCGUCGGAGACAGGGAACCAGAGGAAGGGAGCACAUAGAGGAACAGAAGAUAUUGAGCCAGGUAGAGAGAAAAGUUGAGGAAUGGAGUGAUUCUUGCGACAUAGGACAUUGGAGACAAUGCUCCAGGCUUAAUAGGCACCAUUGUCAACAGAUUCCCAGAGGCCUCAGUCCUGCCAGGAAGUUCCAUCUGCAAAUGUCUCAAAGACCCGAGGGUACCCAGGAACUUCAGUGCAGUCAAGGCUCCAAAAGCAUCCAUCGUCUGUGACAAACCGAUUCUCCAAAUGUCCCAAAGCCCACUCUUUCCUCCAGGAAUGCUAAUGCAAUGAAAUCUCCAAUGGCAUUGAGUCUCCCAGGGUUUCAAAAGCCUUUUAAAAUGUCAAUUCAGUGUGUGUUUUGAAACAAUCUCAGUGUGUGGAAUACAGGGAACAGACUCACCUGAAACCAACACUGCAUUAGUUUCCCCAAAUGUGACAUUGAGGCAUGAAGCACCACCACACCUCUCCCUUGCUGUAAAGAUUUCUUGGCAUGGACUGGUCCAGUGUGAGAGGUAUUAUGUGGACUCGGGAUGUAACUCUUUGUCCCCAAGUCCUCCUACGUGUCCAGACUCUCAUGCAUCCAUUGCCAGAGCUGCUCAGAAGUUGGAUGUAAGUACUGAGCAUCCUCUGGCCCUUUGGCUGCCACUUUGGUGGGAACUGGAGCCUCCAGAGAUGCUAAACCUUCAACCCCCGCUGGUUCCCUCUGGCCUUCAACUAUUGUGGUUUUCCCAGAGUCGGGAGUGGCCUCAGGGGCUUGACCACCAUGCAGGUCGUCUUGAGAACUUUACAUUGAACGUUCCAUGGCCUGAUCUUUAUGGAGAGAUGCUUCCAGACUGGCGUUGAAUUGGGGAAUCGAGCCCACAGUAGAUGUGCCUGGAGACUCGGACUCUAAGUUGGCAGAUGCAAGGACAGAUAAGUGACCACGGGAAUGUGUUGAUCGAGAAAAAGCCACUGGACUCUGGCACUUGAGAGCCCACAGGUAGGUGCUUGGAUCUCAGUUCAGGUCUUCUGCAAUAGCAGCAAGUGCUCUUCAUCGCUGAACUCUCUCUCUUGUUCCAUAGAGUAAUAAUGGUUUUAAAUCAUGUGCGAGAUUCCCAUGUCACAUCAUGUCACAG